ACUUGAGUUAUCCAAACAAUCGUCUCUCUCCUCUAAUUUUCCCUUUACCAAAUCGCGAACCCUGAUUCUGCAGAAAGUUCCCAAUUUUCAGAUUCCAACAAGAAGACUAAGAACUCUAAGACAUCCUCCGAGCUGGGUUUUCCUUCUCUGAAUAUCAGCCUCGCUCUCAUCUCCAUCCCUCCUCUCCUUUCGAUGUUGCAUCCCAUUUAAAUUGAAUCUCAGAUUGCUAUGGUCCCUUAAGCUAUCUCUUAUUUCUUGCGACUCUAGUUUCAUCUCCCCCAAUUCGGCCUUGGGGAUCCCGAUCUCGAGUUUCUCUGAGCCUCUAUACUCGUUGCAGAGACAAGUAUAUUACAAAAUACUGAGACAAGGAUUCCGGCAAGAUUCCAUUUGCAUUACAACAUGGUACAUGGAUUGCUUAUUCUUCUCCUUUCCAACAAAGCCAUGUCUCUGCUCUCAGAUCUCGUCAACCUCAACCUCUCAGACAAAACCAAGCAAAUCAUUGUUUAAUACAUAUGGUUCAUUCUCCCUUCUCUCUGUUUCUAUCUCACGACGACUCUCAUUAUCUCUGUUUCUUGCUAUUGUUGUGUUGAUGAUGUGGACGUGUACAGCUUAAAGCUUGUCCAUUUUUUAGUUUUUUGUCUUCUGGGUAUGUGAUAUUUCCAUAUGGGUUUUGAUUGAACAGGUUCAGCGGAUAUGGCAUGGACAUUAGAAGCAAAGCCAGAGUAAACUGAUAGUUUGUCUCAUCCAUACCCGAGAGAAUUUGGGAGGUUUCUGCUCCUUCCAAGGCGUGAUUAGAUUCCAUUGGGCUGCCGUGUGGUGGUCAUAUUGGCUCUAGUAUCGCGUGUUCUUUGCAUCCAUGCUGCCGUAAACGCAACCUUGUCCACAUAUCUUUGUCCACACUACCUUAAAGUGAGACAUCUAUAGUGACCAAGCUGUUUUCUCUGUCGUUGUCUUGUCCAUGGAUAACUUCAAGAGAUGUAGUAAUCAAAGGAUGGAGACGAGACUGUGUGACUAAAUGAAACAGAGUAUCCCCUGUCACCGCCGUGGUUGUGGAGCCUCUCAAUGCUGCGAUUCAGAUUCAUCAAUCAUGUAAGCUCAUUCAGAAGAAAGUUUCGAGUUUUUUGAUAUAGUUUUUUUUUUAAGAAACCUUGUCCACAAUACACCUUGUCCACAUUACCUUGAAGAGAUAUUUCACUUGAUUAACAUCUUAAUGAAGAUGAAGAGAGGAUUUUUAUGGCUUACUACUAAUACAUCUUAUACAGAAAUGCUUCAUUGAAUCAUUAUUCUAAUGUGUUAGAGAUUGAGCAAGCUCAGUUUUGAUUGUUUCAGUUGUUGCUUUGAAGAAGAGAGUAGAAAGCAUCAGGAAGAUAAUCUUGCUCCCUUGACUGUGAAGAAAAGAAGGAGAAAACUAUUACUUAUAGUUCCAUCAGAAGAUCCUGAUCAGAGGCUUGCACAAAUGGGCACACUUGCAUCUGCUUUAAUAGCAUUGGGUACUAUCAAAUACAGUGACGACUUAAUUUAUGUACAUGUCCAUUACAAAAGCUUGUCCACAACUUUAGGUUUUCAGUCCAUGUAUUCUCUAUUUUCUAUGUCCAUGUCCACACAAUUUUUUUUACAAAAUCUUGUCCACAACUUUCAGUUUUAUAUCCAUGUGUUCUCCGUAUUCUAUGUCCAUGUCCAUAAUUUUUGUUUUUUAUGUCGAAAUGUAUUAGCUAGUUUUUUUUAUUAUAAGCCGUUAGAUUGACAUUC